rnacentral:rRNA from 1 species
CUCAAAUUUAAAAUCUGGCAGUCUCUCUUUUCUUCUUUGGCUGUCCGAGUUGUAAUCUAGAGAAGUGCUUACCCGUGCUGCACCAUGUACAAGUCUCCUGGAAUGGAGCGUCGUAGAGGGUGAGAAUCCCGUCUUUGACAUGGACUUGCCAGUGCAUAGUGGUGCGCUCUCAAAGAGUCGAGUUGUUUGGGAAUGCAGCUCUAAAUGGGUGGUAAACUCCAUCUAAAGCUAAAUAUUGGCGAGAGACCGAUAGCGAACAAGUACCGUGAGGGAAAGAUGAAAAGCACUUUGGAAAGAGAGUUAAACAGUAUGUGAAAUUGUUGAAAGGGAAACACUUGAAGUCAGUUGUGUCUGCUUAGGGAUCAACUCAGCUGAUUUUGCUGCGUGAACUUCCUAGUGUGACAGGCCAACAUCAGUUCUGACUGUUGGAAAAGGGCAGAGGGAAUGUGCCACCUUUGGGUGUGUUUUAUAGCCUUUUGUCAUAUAUAGCAGUCGGGACUGAGGAAUUGCAGCGCGCCGCGAAGGGCAGGGUCUUUUGACCACGUUCGCGCUUAGGAUGUUGGCGUUUAAUGGCUUCAAUUGACCCGUCUUGAAACACGGACCAAGGAGUCUAACAUGCCUGCGAGUGUUUGGGUGAAGAAACCCUUGUGCACAAUGAAAGUGAAAGUUGAGAUCCCUGUCGUGGGGAGCAUCGACGCCCGGACCGGAGCUUUUAGCGAUGGAUCUGCGGUAGAGCAUGCAUGUUGGGACCCGAAAGAUGGUGAACUAUGCCUGAAUAGGGCAAAGCCAGAGGAAAC